rnacentral:rRNA from 1 species
CUGGUCUGAGAGGAUGACCAGCCACACUGGAACUGAGACACGGUCCAGACUCCUACGGGAGGCAGCAGUGGGGAAUAUUGGACAAUGGGGGGAACCCUGAUCCAGCAAUGCCGCGUGUGUGAAGAAGGCCUGAGGGUUGUAAAGCACUUUCAGUGGGGAGGAGGUUUGCUAGGUUAAGAGCUAGGCGAAUGGACGUUACCCACAGAAGAAGCACCGGCUAACUCCGUGCCAGCAGCCGCGGUAAUACGGAGGGUGCGAGCGUUAAUCGGAAUUACUGGGCGUAAAGCGUGCGUAGGUGGUUGAUUAAGUUAUCUGUGAAAUCCCUGGGCUUAACCUGGGCAGGUCAGAUGAUACUGGUUGACUCGAGUAUGGGAG